GGAAGCGUGGCCGAGUGGUUUAAGGCACUAGUCUUGAAAACUAGCGAGGUGCAAGCCUCCGUGAGUUCGAAUCUCACCGCUUCCGCCA
rnacentral:tRNA from 1 species